rnacentral:rRNA from 1 species
AGAGUUUGAUCCUGGCUCAGGAUGAACGCUAGCUACAGGCUUAACACAUGCAAGUCGAGGGGAAACGACAUCGAAAGCUUGCUUUUGAUGGGCGUCGACCGGCGCACGGGUGAGUAACGCGUAUCCAACCUGCCCACCACUUGGGGAUAACCUUGCGAAAGUAAGACUAAUACCCAAUGAUAUCUCUAGAAGACAUCUGAAAGAGAUUAAAGAUUUAUCGGUGAUGGAUGGGGAUGCGUCUGAUUAGCUUGUUGGCGGGGUAACGGCCCACCAAGGCAACGAUCAGUAGGGGUUCUGAGAGGAAGGUCCCCCACAUUGGAACUGAGACACGGUCCAAACUCCUACGGGAGGCAGCAGUGAGGAAUAUUGGUCAAUGGACGAGAGUCUGAACCAGCCAAGUAGCGUGCAGGAAGACGGCCCUAUGGGUUGUAAACUGCUUUUAUAAGGGAAUAAAGUGAGUCUCGUGAGACUUUUUGCAUGUACCUUAUGAAUAAGGACCGGCUAAUUCCGUGCCAGCAGCCGCGGUAAUACGGAAGGUCCGGGCGUUAUCCGGAUUUAUUGGGUUUAAAGGGAGCGUAGGCCGGAGAUUAAGCGUGUUGUGAAAUGUAGAUGCUCAACAUCUGAACUGCAGCGCGAACUGGUUUCCUUGAGUACGCACAAAGUGGGCGGAAUUCGUGGUGUAGCGGUGAAAUGCUUAGAUAUCACGAAGAACUCCGAUUGCGAAGGCAGCUCACUGGAGCGCAACUGACGCUGAAGCUCGAAAGUGCGGGUAUCGAACAGGAUUAGAUACCCUGGUAGUCCGCACGGUAAACGAUGGAUGCCCGCUGUUGGUCUGAAUAGGUCAGCGGCCAAGCGAAAGCAUUAAGCAUCCCACCUGGGGAGUACGCCGGCAACGGUGAAACUCAAAGGAAUUGACGGGGGCCCG